GGUGCAAGGUGCAAUGAUGUCUAUCAACUAUGUAUAAAUACAGAUGGUGGUUAUCGAUGUUCUUGUCUACCAGGUUUUAUAAACAACAAUGGGACUUGUACCAAUAUAAAUGAAUGUAACGAGAAUGGGUUGAUGAACUGUGGUGAUGUACAGCAAUGUAUAGACACUCUAGGCAGUUAUAUGUGUCGAUGUAAGUCUGGGUAUCAAUGGAACACCAACGCAUGCGUAGAUAUUGAUGAAUGUGAACUGCAUAUUGAUAUGUG